rnacentral:rRNA from 1 species
CCUACGGGAGGCAGCAGUGAGGAAUCUCGCGCAAUGGGCGAAAGCCUGACGCAGCGACGCCGUGUGCGGGAUGAAGGCCCUCGGGUUGUAAACCGCUUUCGGCAGGGACGAAGCGAAAGUGACGGUACCUGCAGAAGAAGCCCCGGCUAACUACGUGCCAGCAGCCGCGGUAAU